GAUCAUGGCUCAGGAUGAACGCUGGCGGCGUGCUUAACACAUGCAAGUCGAACGAGAAUCCGAUGACGGAGGCUUCGGCGGAAGUUAUUGGAGGAAAGUGGCGGACGGGUGAGUAACGCGUGAGCAACCUGCCUUUAAGAGGGGGAUAACAUUCCGAAAGGGAUGCUAAUACCGCAUAAAGCAGAGGGAAGGCAUCUUUCUUCUGCCAAAGAAUUAUCGCUUAGAGAUGGGCUCGCGU
rnacentral:rRNA from 1 species